UGGGGAAUAUUGGACAAUGGGCGGAAGCCUGAUCCAGCGAUGCCGCGUGUGUGAAGAAGGCCUGCGGGUUGUAAAGCACUUUCGGUGGGGAGGAGAGGUUGAAGGUUAAUACCUUUCAACUGAGACGUUACCCACAUAAGAAGCACCGGCUAACUCUGUGCCAGCAGCCGCGGUAAUACAGAGGGUGCGAGCGUUAAUCGGAAUUACUGGGCGUAAAGGGUGCGUAGGUGGUUUGAUAAGUUAGGUGUGAAAGUCCUGGGCUUAACCUGGGGAUUGCGCUUAAGACUGUCGAGCUAGAGUACUGUAGAGGAAAGUGGAAUUUCUGGUGUAGCAGUGAAAUGCGUAGAUAUCAGAAGGAACAUCAGUGGCGAAGGCGACUUUCUGGACAGAUACUGACACUGAGGCACGAAAGCGUGGGGAGCAAACAG
rnacentral:rRNA from 1 species